GAUGAACGCUGGCGGCGUGCUUAACACAUGCAAGUCGAACGAAGCACCUUGAUUCGAUUCUUCGGAUGAAGAUCUUGGUGACUGAGUGGCGGACGGGUGAGUAACGCGUGGGUAACCUGCCUCAUACAGGGGGAUAACAGUUAGAAAUGACUGCUAAUACCGCAUAAGACCACAGCACCGCAUGGUGCAGGGGUAAAAACUCCGGUGGUAUGAGAUGGACCCGCGUCUGAUUAGGUAGUUGGUGGGGUAACGGCCUACCAAGCCGACGAUCAGUGGCCGACCUGAGAGGGUGACCGGCCACAUUGGGACUGAGACACGGCCCAAACUCCUACGGGAGGCAGCAGUGGGGAAUAUUGCACAAUGGGGGAAACCCUGAUGCAGCGACGCCGCGUGAGCGAUGAAGUAUUUCGGUAUGUAAAGCUCUAUCAGCAGGGAAGAAAAUGACGGUACCUGACUAAGAAGCACCGGCUAAAUACGUG
rnacentral:rRNA from 1 species